GUAUUAGACCAUCCCCAAUGCCAGAUUAUCGUCAGGAGGGUAGCUUUCCGUCCAGGCAAUCGUUAGGUAGCAGAGUAUACCACAAUGUCCUCCAUGGCAUGGGGAAAAGCAAUCGCUAUGCCAUCGCUCGCCCCCAUGCAGGACAGAGGUGUUCCAGCGAUAGAUCGCUAUUACACAGCGCGAUCUGCCGCUGACACCAUUGGAUUUUGAGGCAUACUUUAAA